GGGUCAGUAGGUUGGUCGUGCCACCGGUACGUACUGGUCUCACUGAUUCCUCCUUCCUGAAGAACCGUAAUGCCAUUAAUUUGGUGUUGCGGGGAAACAGGACUGUUACUUUGAAAAAAUUAGAGUGUUUAAAGCAAGCUAACGCUUGAAUACAUUAGCAUGGAAUAAUGAAAUAGGACGAUCGAUCCUAUUUUGUCGGCUUCUAGGAUUGACGUA
rnacentral:rRNA from 1 species